rnacentral:rRNA from 1 species
UACGUAGGGUGCGAGCGUUAAUCGGAAUUACUGGGCGUAAAGCGUGCGCAGGCGGCCUUGCAAGACAGAUGUGAAAUCCCCGGGCUCAACCUGGGAACUGCAUUUGUGACUGCAAGGCUAGAGUACGGCAGAGGGGGAUGGAAUUCCGCGUGUAGCAGUGAAAUGCGUAGAUAUGCGGAGGAACACCAAUGGCGAAGGCAAUCCCCUGGGCCUGUACUGACGCUCAUACACGAAAGCGUGGGGAGCAAACAGG